ensembl:lncRNA
GAAAGAGAAGGAGAGGCGGAGAGGGAGAAGAGGGUCAAGAAGGAAAUGGAAAAGAAAGAGAAGGAGAGGCAGAGAGGGAGAAGAGGGUCAAGAAGGAAAUGGAAACGAAAGAGAAGGAGAGGCAGAGAGGGAGAAGAGGGUCAAGAAGGAAAUGGAAACGAAAGAGAAGGAGAGGCGGAGAGGGAGAAGAGGGUCAAGAAGGAAAUGGAAACGAAAGAGAAGGAGAGGCAGAGAGGGAGAAGAGGGUCAAGAAGGAAAUGGAAACGAAAGAGAAGGAGAGGCAGAGAGGGAGAAGAGGGUCAAGAAGGAAAUGGAAACGAAAGAGAAGGAGAGGCGGAGAGGGAGAAGAGGGUCAAGAAGGAAAUGGAAAAGAUAGAGAAGGAGAGGGAGAAGAGGGUAACGGAAGAAAUGGAGCAGGUGAGAGAUUGACGGCGCGAGCAAAGAGUGAGAGAGAACAUGGAAGGCGAGAAGGAAAGGAUGAAGGAGGAGAAAGAUUAAGGAAAGUCAAUAUUGGAAAGUAAAUCGAUGGAGAAGGAGAUGGACACCUGUUGAAUGUGAGACUGAACACAGAAAGGACAUGAGAUGCCUUCAUAAAGAGCCAGUAGUCUGAGACUGAGAUCCACACCCUGGUUUGCAUACGCCAUAGAAAUAUAAUACACCGUACUGCACAUAGCCACAGCCAUAGGAAUAGGAUAAGAAUAUCAUACAGAUUCCCAGAUGGGACAGCUACCAUCAUUUCAUCGUUGACCUCAUCAAAAGGGAGUAGGAUAAAGAGAGGAACACACACACCCAAAUUAUAAAUACAGGCAUGCAAAGACAAAUUGGUUAUUGGUCCAUGGCAUGUGAUGGAAUGGUGACUGACUAGAGAAAAUUGUUUAUUGGGCAUUUUAAUGACCUAUCCUACCUUUAUAAGUGUGACAUUGAUUUAUAAGUAUGUCCUACUUAUGAACAAUACAUUUACUAUUGUAAUCGUGCAGAUCUGACGACAUCGCUAUUGUCCUAUCCAUGACCAUGCACACCCGUGCCAAGUGCUUGCCACGGUUUCUGCAUUGAUUGACAAAUGUAACAGUCUGUUCACCAUGGCGGGUAUACGUACAGGAAGCCUACUUGUCAGAACCUGUAAUAGCCUAUUCUCUCAGUGUAUUUACCAAGUUCCUAACUAAAACAUAGAAUUUCUCGUGUUGCAAUGUCAUUAUACAUUUGUUCAAUUCGGCCUAUACCUUCUCUGACUGUGCCUAGAUAGUCAUUCAACCAGACAUAUGUGGUAUAUGACAUCAACUUGUGAAACUGUGCUGACUCAACUGGAAUACGAAAUCAGAGACUACCACCUAGUGGCAUUUGUUAGUAGUAGCAUCUCUUUUACAGUCGCACACAUCAAAUUACAAUCAAUUUACAAUCGCACAUAUCAAUGCAGAGAAAACAUUUAUUUGCAAAAAGAAUGCAUACAUUUCUUAAGCAGUACAUGAUCCUAAUAAUCUUCAGAAUCAUUAUAAUGGCAAAGGCAGUUUUGAAACAAAAUAUACAUAAUACGCAAUCUUCUGGAACACUGUAAUGCAUACAUCUUCAAAACAUUUAAAUUUAAAUACAUAAAAG